UGGCUCAGACGGUAAAGCGUCUGUCUACAAUGCAGAAGACCCGGGUUCGAUCCCUGG
rnacentral:tRNA from 1 species